rnacentral:rRNA from 1 species
AGAGUUUGAUCAUGGCUCAGAGCGAACGCUGGCGGCAGGCUUAACACAUGCAAGUCGAGCGGGCGUAGCAAUACGUCAGCGGCAGACGGGUGAGUAACGCGUGGGAACAUACCUUUUGGUUCGGAACAACACAGGGAAACUUGUGCUAAUACCGGAUAAGCCCUUACGGGGAAAGAUUUAUCGCCGAAAGAUUGGCCCGCGUCUGAUUAGCUAGUUGGUGAGGUAACGGCUCACCAAGGCGACGAUCAGUAGCUGGUCUGAGAGGAUGAUCAGCCACGUUGGGACUGAGACACGGCCCAAACUCCUACGGGAGGCAGCAGUGGGGAAUAUUGGACAAUGGGCGCAAGCCUGAUCCAGCCAUGCCGCGUGAGUGAUGAAGGCCCUAGGGUUGUAAAGCUCUUUUGUGCGGGAAGAUAAUGACGGUACCGCAAGAAUAAGCCCCGGCUAACUUCGUGCCAGCAGCCGCGGUAAUACGAGGGGGGCUAGCGUUGCUCGGAAUCACUGGGCGUAAAGGGUGCGUAGGCGGGUUUUUAAGUCAGAGGUGAAAUCCUGGAGCUCAACUCCAGAACUGCCUUUGAUACUGAGAGUCUUGAGUUCGGGAGAGGUGAGUGGAACUGCGAGUGUAGAGGUGAAAUUCGUAGAUAUUCGCAAGAACACCAGUGGCGAAGGCGGCUCACUGGCCCGAUACUGACGCUGAUGCACGAAAGCGUGGGGAGCAAACAGGAUUAGAUACCCUCGUAGUCC